UCCCUUCCCUGCGUGUCACACUGCGGCAUCGGCUGUAGCGCUCGGGUCGCACGUCACAUCCCAGGUCCUUAUUUAUCUCCUCACUGGAGCCUGGACCUUUGGCCCACCUUCCUCCAGUCCCGUCCUCCGCCACCUCCUGCCUCUGGCAACCACAGUCUCAUCUCUUUUUCUGUGCGCGAGUUUGGUUGGUUGUGUUUCGGAUUCUCCGUGUGAGUGACAUCAUGCAGUGUUUGCCCUUCUCUGUCAGGCUGAUUUCACUCAACGCGAGGCCUCCGGGGUCCAGUCACGGUCAGAUGGUGGAAUCUCUCAUUUUAUAUGCGUGAGUGUAUCCCACUCUGUAUUCACAUCCACGGCAGCUUCUUCAUCUGCUCGCCCAUCGAUGGACACUUUGGUUGUUUCCGUGUCUUCGCUGUUGUAACUAAUGCUGCUCUGAACCUGGGGGCGCCGGUAUCUUUUCGGGUUAGAGUUUUCAUUUCUUUUGGAUACAUUCCCAGAAAUGGAGGCGCUGGGUCGUAGGGCGGGUACCAUUCUCAUUUUGCAAGGAUCCUCUCUCCUCUACCAUAGUAGCUUGAGUCUGUUACAUUCCCACUAACAAGGCACACAUGUCCCUUUUCCCUCGCAUCCCCAGUGGCGUCUGUUACCCCUUAUCUUUUUAGCCACGGCCGUUCUAACGGGGGCGAGGGGAGCGCCCUGUGGUUUGGGUUUGCACUGCCCUGCUGACCGGUCCUGCAGAGCAUCUUGUCAUGUUCCUGUUGCCCUCUUGGGUGUGUUCUUUGAGAAGAUUCAGGUCCUCUGCUCAUUCGAGGUUGGCUCACUUAGGCUUAUGUCUUUUCUCACCCCUGGGCCAAAGUUCCCACCCCUGAGCAGGGGCUCACCUGCCUUCUGAAAAGGGGUCUUCAGCUUGCAGACAUCCCAAGUUGAGCAGCUGGACCUGCAUCUCGUGGCGUUAGACUUCUUUCCUUGGGCUGCAUUCUCCAUUCUGCACAGCAGAGGGAGAGCUGAAGCCUCACCCAUCCCGUUCCAGGGCUGGAGCAUCCAGAAAGCGGAGUGAGCGAGGCUUUCUCCAGGGUGUCAGCAGAGGGACCAGGGCCUGGGCAGCACAUCUGUUCCACACCCUCCUUGGCCCGUGCGCUCUUCCGCCACGGGCAGGGCUCUUGCAGGCAGCUCUGGCCAAGCCCAUCCCAAUGUGCCCUGCCCCGGCUGCCCAGGCUCUGUCUUGCAGAAUCCUCUGGCCCAUGGGGGCAUCUGUGCAGGGGCAGCUCUGCAGGCUGGAGACUUUAUUUCAUAAAGCAGGGAAGCUUUGCUUUUGACUCGGCACAGAUCCCGAGAGCAGGAUGCACUUUACAGGGGUGCGCUGGAGGCGUGCACGGCCUGAGAGUCGUUGCUCCUGGCCUUGCUGGCACCUGCGUUAAAGCGUAGAAGGGCUUUAUCCUUGAUGCAGGCUGGCCAGGGGCUAAGAGAACCCGUCUCCAGCUCAGGCCGCCUGGGUCCCAGCUCUGGCUUCCUGCCCUACAUGCAUUCUGUCCUCUGCAGACGUGAGCUUGUUCUCCCAUUUCAUAGGUUUAGGAAUAGGCCACAGGGAGGUUAAGUGACUUGUUUAAGGGCACACAGCCAGUAGAGUCGCUGCUGGGAUUUGAAUUCUAGUUAGCCUACGCUGGAGCCCACUAAAUGCCUGUUGAGUUGCCUCUGUACAACUCCUGGCAUGUCGUAGGUGCUCGUGCUUGUUUAUUCAACAAACAAACCUGUCCAAACCCUAGGAAUGGGGCAGCCUCUCAGGGCCUUUGCAAACUGUUUCCACAUCUUUUGUGCUCUAACCACGCUUUCUCCCCACCCCUCAACCAGACCAAAAGUCAGCAGCAAAACCAGCUCAGCUCGGACGUCUGCUGCACUCCAGGUGACGGGGGACCUCCUGAGCCUUCCUUUCCUAGGCCCUCGCUGGGGGCAGCACCCCGCUUGGGGUGGAUGUUUGGAAUCUCACGCCUCCAUAAAACGUAGGCGUGCUUUUGCCAGAUUCAGCCCUGCACACCAGCAGGCGUGCGCCGGGGGAAGCGUGGAGGCAGGAUUGCCAUCCGCAGGGAUUACAGACCCUUCGAGAAUCUGCUAGACUGUCCUGUGGCCACUCACAGACACACACGCGGCGAAUCCUGGAACAAGUUACUGCUAGUCUGAGGCAGGUCUGAGGGUGAGCUUCCCAUCGUGGUUCAGCGGUUAAUGAACCCCGGCGGCAUCCGUGAGGACGCGGGUUCAAUCCCCGGCUUCACUCAGUGACGGGUCAAGGAUCCGAUGUUGCAGUGAGCUGUGGUGUAGGUCGCAGAUGUGGCUUGGAUCCUGCAUUGCUGUGGCUGUGGCUGUGGCCAGUGGCUACAGCUCCGAUUGGACCCCUAGCCUGGGAAUCUCCACAUGCCAUAUGCUGCAGGUGCGGCCCU
rnacentral:lncRNA from 1 species